rnacentral:rRNA from 1 species
GAUGAACGCUAGCGGCAGGCUUAAUACAUGCAAGUCGAGGGGCAUCAAGGUACACGAAAGUGUAUUGUUGGCGACCGGCGGACGGGUGAGUAAUAGGUAGGUAACCUACCUCAUACUGAGGCAUAGCCGGGAGAAAUUCCAGGUAAUUCCUCAUGAGGUUAUAUGACACAUGUGAUAUAAUCAAAGGUAUCGCAAGGUACUGGUAUGAGAUGGGCUUACUGACCAUUAGCUAGUUGGUGAGAUAAGAGCUCACCAAGGCGAAGAUGGUUAGGGGUUUUGAGAGAGAGAUCCCCCACAUUGGAACUGAGAUACGGUCCAGACUCCUACGGGAGGCAGCAGUAGGGAAUAUUGGGCAAUGGGCGGAAGCCUGACCCAGCCAUGCCGCGUGAAGGAAGACGGCCUUAUGGGUUGUAAACUUCUUUACUAUGCGACUAACUAGAUUUACGAGAUAAUUCUAUAGAAUGUAGCAUAGACAAAAGCACCGGCUAACCG